AUACGGAGGGUGCGAGCGUUAAUCGGAAUUACUGGGCGUAAAGCGUACGUAGGCGGUUGGUUAAGUUAGAUGUGAAAGCCCCGGGCUUAACCUGGGAACUGCAUUUAAAACUGGCGAACUAGAGUUGAGUAGAGGGGAGUGGAAUUUCAGGUGUAGCGGUGAAAUGCGUAGAGAUCUGAAGGAACACCAGUGGCGAAGGCGACUCCCUGGACUCGAACUGACGCUGAGGUACGAAAGCGAGGGUAGCAAACGGGAUUAGAUACCCUAGUAGUCC
rnacentral:rRNA from 1 species